rnacentral:rRNA from 1 species
UACGUAGGGCGCGAGCGUUGUCCGGAUUUAUUGGGCGUAAAGAGCUCGUAGGCGGCUUGUUGCGUCGGCUGUGAAAACCCAUGGCUCAACCGUGGGCUUGCAGCCGAUACGGGCAGGCUAGAGUUCGGUAGGGGGAGACUGGAAUUCCUGGUGUAGCGGUGAAAUGCGCAGAUAUCAGGAGGAACACCGGUGGCGAAGGCGGGGUCUCUGGGGCCGAAUACUGACGCUGAGGAGCGAAAAGCGUGGGGGAGCGAACAGGG